rnacentral:rRNA from 1 species
UACAGAGGUCUCAAGCGUUGUUCGGAUUCAUUGGGCGUAAAGGGUGCGUAGGCGGCGCGGUAAGUCGGGUGUGAAAGCCCUCGGCUUAACCGAGGAAGUGCAUUCGAAACUACUGGGCUUGAGUACUGAAGAGGAUCGCGGAAUUCCCGGUGUAGAGGUGAAAUUCGUAGAUAUCGGGAGGAACACCAGUGGCGAAGGCGGCGAUCUGGGC